UGUUGUGGUCUGCCUUCUGACGAGUGAAAUGUGAACAGGAAGUGGGAAGGAGCAAGCUUUGUCUCUCUACUGCCAGUGUGCUUCAUACAUUUGUGAAGAAGCAGACCCACAUCAUAAAACCAACUGAAAGCCACGGAGGUACCUCUCUAAAAAAUGUAAUGGACUGUACUGAAAGCCUAACUUUGACUGAUGUGAGGUUUGGGACUUUAUCCAGGUCCUUUUCAAAGCACUGAGAUAUCAAGGCUCAGAUUUUCAGAGGCCCUGAUUUCAGCAAGAGCUGCACUUCUGAAGGUCAAACCACAGGCUCUUUACAACAGACUAAUCCAAGGCUACUUUAAACAAGUCAUCUUGGUCCAAGACUCUUCAACUGUUCGUUGUAUGCCAACAUCUCAGGGCAGAAUCUAAGCUUCUUGGCUCUGUGAAUCUCUGUGCUCUUAGUGAUG